CACAGAUGCUGUUUCCUUUGCCCAGCACACCUGUCACUCACCUCAACCCUUUCUCUCUUUUCCCCAUCUUUCUGUGGCUAGCUCCUCCUCAUUCUUUAGGUCUCAGUGUAGAUAGCACCACUAUCAGGAAGGAGUCCAGACACUGCCAGGCCUAAGGUCAGCAGUCCAACUACCAGGGCCAGAGCCCCAUCAAAGAAUCUUCAGUGCCAGCCAGAAAGAAUGAUGAACUCCUCGUGUAAAGGGAGUUUGGGGCAACCAGUCAAACCAUGGCCUCAUGGGAAGCAGCUGACUAGGCAAUGAGAGAGGAAUACAAAAGACAAGGCACUGCGAAGCCAAGUCUGGUUGGGGAGAAGAAACCAAUAUGCCUGAAACAGGGAACCAGAAAGGACUCAGACAAAACUGCUGACAAGUAUGGGGUUUCUUGGGGUAGGUGGUGAAAAUAUUCCAAAAUAAGAUUAUAGCGAUGUUUUAAUAAUCCCCUGGAUAUAAUAAAAAAACAUCGAAUUGUAC
rnacentral:lncRNA from 10 species